ACAUGGCUUGGAUCUGGCAUUGCUGUGGCUCUGGCAUAGGCUGACAGCUACAGCUCCGAUUAGACCCCUAGCCUGAGAACCUCCACAUGCUGCGGAUGUGGCCCUAAAAGGAGAAAAAGACAAAAAAUAUAUGUGUGUGUGUGUGUGUGUGUGUGUGUGUGUGUGUGUGUGUAUAAAGAUAUAUAUAAAGAUAGAUGUGAGGGCAGUUUGCUACUGAAGGACUUAAAGAUGAGUGGAGAAGAUAGACAAGUAGCCAAGGAUUAGAAUAGAGCACAGGUGCUAUGGUAGAGAAAUGUACAAAGGUGGGGCAUUAACUUAGCAGGUAAUGAGGAGGGAACGCUUCCUGGAGCAGGUGACACUGGGUCUCAAAGGGUAAAAUUAAUGUAAGCCAGUCAGAUGGAGGAAGGAGGUAAGAAGCCAUUCCAGGCAGGAGGAACAGCAUAAACAAAGGCACGGGAUCAUAGAAACACAGUAAUGCUUCAGCCAUCCUGGAGGAUUGUCCCUUGUGGUGGGCCACAGGGCUCUGACAUCAACCCUAUUCCAUUCAUUGUUGUAAUAAAGGUUGCGUAUGAAGGAACCCUGGUCGAAUCUGUGAAUAAUUUGAGGCUGAGAUAAUCCACAUUACACUUGAAUAGCAAAAUUAAGAUUCCACAAAAUGAUACAGUAGGGAUUCGAUAAAUAAUUGUGAAUCAGUUGCUUUUGAAGGUGUGGUUAUAUGGCUGCAGAAAUACAGUAUGUGGGAGGCCUGGAUAAAUGAACACACAUAAAGAAAGAGGUAAAUAAGGGAAGCUAACAUCUGUUGAUCUUGGUGAUGAGUUUUUGGGUACCUGCUGCUUUAUUUUCCAUAUUUUUCAGUGUUUUGUAAUUUUUAAAAACACUUAGGAUUUUGGUAACUAUAACCUAAAACAAGAGGACAUAGUUGCCAAAAACUCAAAUGUAGUUUUUGGCUGCAGUAACAAAAGUUAGUAUUGAGAACUGUAUGUGUGUCUGUCUCCUCUAUUCUGUGCUGACCUGAUGACACGUGGACAGUCUGAUCAAUACUGGGAUUUAUUCUUCAGGACACAUGUCCAGAUCUGUUCAGCAGAGAAACACAAAAGAGUGAGGGACUCAAAACCAUGUUCUAUGAGAAACAGUUGAAGGAAGAUGACGUUUCAUGUGGAGCAGGCUAAAAAGUUCACAUAGCUGUCUUCAAAGGCUUUCAUUAAACAGCUAUCAGACUUGCCUUACGUAGCCUGAGAGGGCAAGCCUACAAUGCUGUGGUGACAUAUGUGUUUCAAGGAGACAAAUUCCAUUAUAUGCAUUCUGCAAAAAUGAUCAUAUUUGAAAGGGAUUAAUACAAUCUAAAUAGUGUGGUUGGCUCCUCAAGCUAGCCACCUAAUGAGUGUUUGUGUGCCCCCAAAUGUGCAGGAGCCGAAAGAUAUGAAACCCCCAUCUCAGGACCAUUUUGCUUCUCAGAGCAUAAAUAUCUCCCCUGUCUGAAUGGGACUCCAGCCUCAAAAAAGACAUAUUUAAAAAAAAAAAAUCCAUGGUCUUCCCAUUGAGGCUCAGUGGAAACAAUCCAACUAGUAUCCAUGAGGACACAGGUUCAAUUCCUGGCCUUGCUUAGUGGGUUAAGGAUUUGGCAUUGCUGUAAUGUAGGUCACAGAUGUGGCUUGGAUCUGGCUUGUUGUAGACGGCGCUCAGAGAUUUGAUGAAAAUGGCGAGUUAGACCAAGACUAACUGGCCUUAUAUAAUCUUGAGAUUCUGAAAUUCUGUGAUCAGAUUCUCUCAUGUCUUCUGCCAGCCUAUCCAUCCUUUUUUCUUCAGAUUCUUCUUUUUUGAUCUUUUUAAACCAACUAUCUAUGUCAAGAAGCAUUUCUCAGUUGAUCUCUGCUCUGGUGCAGUGGAUGGUGAAUCAUAGGUGCCCAAGAAUGGUAACCACUGCUGCAUUAUUAGUGAUCAUUGCAUUUGCUUUUGAAUUUCAUUUUCUUAGCCCAUGGUGACUCAUUUUGCAUGGAACUUUCACUUUAUCCUGGGGCUAAAUCUCAGGAACUCAAGAUUCUGGCUUACAUGGUUUCACUGCAUGUGGAUGUUUAUAUGCGUAAUAUUUAUAGGACCAACAACAAACUCCCAGGGGGAGAGGAAAGUUCAGGGUUGGAGUUAUCUAUUGGUGCAUAAGAAAACACCCCGAACUUAGUGGCUUAAAACAACAACAAUCUUUUUUAUUUGCUCACAAACCUGCAAUUUGGGCAGGGCUUGGCAAGGACAGCUCCACAAAGCAUGAACAAGGGUGGCUCAAAUUCUGGGGAUGACUCCUGGGGGCUGGAAUCAUUGGAAGGCGCGCACACACACACACACACACACACACACACACAUGCACACACACACACGACUGGUAACUGAUAUCAGCUGACAGGUGGGGCUGCAGCUGAGUUGUCAGUGAGAACACAUACAUGUGGCCUCUCUCUGUGGCUCCCUGGCUUAUUCACAGCAUAGGGCAGAGUUCCAAGAGCACGUUUCUCAAGAGAAUUAGGUUGAAACUGGAUCUCAUUUUAUGGCCUAGCCUUAGAGUCACACGAUAUCACUUCUGCCAUGGUCACAGGCCCUCUCCUAUUUGAGAAGAGUAGACACAAACUAUACCUCUUUGUCCAAGAUGUGUCAGCCCCAGGCUGUAAGAAGCCCAGGUGUGAUGGGAAUUCUUACUGCCACCAUCUUGGGAAGGAGAGUUUGCCAUGCAAUGGGUGAUUCAUUUGGAAACCAGAAGACCCAAAACUUAGUUUGACUUUUUGCAUCUUCUAGUAUAUUAGGAAAAAUUGCAGAUGCUUCAUAUUCACUGCGACUUGACCCUUGAAUGUAUGGUUUCCAAAAACCUAUAGUUUUCUUUACAGAUGACAUGACUACUUUAUUAAAUAGAUGCAAGGAAGGUAAACUAGAUGUCUAAGAUUAAGUUAUGUGCAGACAUCAAUCUGAUGACUAGUUCAUUGUGACUAUGUUAAAUGACAACAUCGCUGUCAACACCAGUCUUGUAGAAGACCUCGUCUCUCCCAUGCAUGGAGACAGUUGGGCGUAGGCUGAGGCUCUAGUCUCAUCCUCAGUAGAGCAAGCAUGCCACAGUCUCCUGAGUCAGUUAGCACAGGGAACUCGAGAAAAGAAGGUUCUGACUAGAUUUCUCCCACUUCUUCUAGUUCCCUAAAGCUCCCUUUUACCACUGUAAACAGAACCAUUGCAUCGCUUUCACUGCCGCACCCCAAAUAACCCAGCCAGGGAAAUAAGAAAGCCAAACCAAACCAAGAACCUACCAUCUAAUUAAAGUAUCUAAACAUUUGUUUCUCAUCACAUCCUAGUUCUGAACAAUGACUGGGCGCCCUGCAGGGUGCACAUAUGUGUGUUGGUGAAUGUAAGUGGGCAAUGGUUCCAAAGCUUUGCAAGGAUCUGCCAAUGACUAAUUUUUUUUAAAAAAAAAGCAUACAUGUAGGAGUUCCUGUUGUGGCUCAGUGGAAGCAAAUCUGACUAGCAUCCAUGAGGACGCAGGUUCGAUCCCUGACCUCGCUCAGUGGGUUAUGGAUCCAGUGUUGCAGUGAGCUGUGGUGUAGGUCUCGGAUGCGGCUUGGAUCUGGCAUUGCCGUGGCGGCGGUGUAGGCCGGCAGCUGUAGCUCCAACUGGACCCCUAGCCUGGGAACCUCCAUAUGCCGCAGGAGUGGCCCUAAAAAGCAAAACAAAACAAAACAAAUCAUACAUUUCAAGGCUUUUAGAUGAAUGACUUCCUCUGAUUGAAUGGGGCAAGAGAGGAAAGGAGGGAGGGAGGAAGGAGAGGAGAGGAGGGAGAAAGGGGGCCCAUGGGUGAGGUUCACUGCCCCAGGUAUUUUGAUGCUGAAUCUCCCUAUGUGGACAUACUACUACUGUUCAUUCCUGGUGUUUCUCUGAAUAAAAGUCAUGAAUAUGGUGACUAUCAUGACAUGAAUGCAAUUCUGCAGCAUCCUAAACAUCAACAAAACUAACACAUAAUAUAUUCCUACAACUUUCUCUCUGAAGGCUAUACUGAAUUCUUAAAAACUGUAGUGAUUAAAACUGUAGUGACCAAGAGGAACUGUUUUUUUGUAAAAGCAAGAAGCGCAUGGCUCUGACUGCUUCUUCAAAAACUGUGGAAAAGAGUUCCCUGGUGGCCUAGUCAUUAAGGAUUCAUCAUGGCCCCUGCUGUGGCUUGACUUCGACCCCUGGCCCAGGACCUUCCGCCUGCCACAGGCUUCGCCCCCCCAAAUAAAUAAAUAAAUAAAACAAUAAAUUUUUUUUAAAACUGUGGAAAAGUAAGCCAAAUAAAACUAUGGCAGGGAAACUCUACUCAAUAUUCUGUAAUAACCUAUAUGGGAGAAGAAUCUGCAAAAGAAUGGAUAUGUGUAGAUGUAUCACUGAAUUGCUUUGCUGUACACCUGAAACUAAGACAACAUUGUAAAUCAACUAUGCUCCAAACAACAACAGCUAUGGCAGCUGGAACAGCAUCUCCAAACUAAAAGUUGUGCUAGCGGGCUGUUCUACAACUGUCUCUCUCUCUCCCCCUCCUCUCCUCAAGAGGACAAAACAUUUCUCAAUGUCCCCAUAUCACUAAGCCCAUCUUUCAGCCAUGACUGGCAAAUGGCUUGCUCUUCUGAGAUCCUAUUAUGGCAGAUUCCAGGUGUUGACGUCAGUGCGGAUGACAGUGGCGUGGAAGAAGCCAGAUGAUCUCAUUGGUACCUGUGUUGAGUAAACCCACUGGUGGAAUCACCCAAAUUAAGAGAUAUGGAUUUAAAAUUCCCUAAUAAUAUAAUGUAAAUCAUUCCAGAUUUCUAAGAAGGCCUAUCCUCCCUUUUAGGGUUAAAAGGCUCAAGUGAGGUUUGUGAAUGAUGAGAGAGUGUUAAGUUUCCUCUCAGAGAUGUUGGGGAAGUUAGAAAGUUUUUUUUUUUUUUUUUUCAGGCUCAGCCUGAGGAUCAGGAAUAUGCAUAAGUUUAGGAUGAAAAGGGAGGGGGUUUCCCCUCAGGAUAGAGUCACGGCUCAAAAUCCCAGGGGUCAGCGGGAGUUGGACCAAACCCACACCUUGGGAAAUAGGGACAUUAAUCUGUCUGGCUUGCGGGUGUGAGAUGAUUCUUCGGAGGCCAAGGGACAAUGAGGUAACCAGGAACGUCGAGGAAUAAAGUGGGGAUUUGUGAACAGAGGGAAGAUCGAUAAAAUGAGUAAGAAUUAUGGGUUUCUGCUGACUGAGAUUAAACUAGGGCUUUCUGGUGAGAUGGAUUCAGGCACAGAAGAACCUGCAAGAUCAGGUGACACAGAGGGCUGGAUUGGGAAGUCUGGACUUACCUUUGUUAUAAUGUAAGGCUUUAUUUUAUAGGGUGCUAGGGCUGAUCCUGGGGAGUUGGUGGCGUCCUCCACAAGACAUUCCAAUGUGGGCUGCAUCUGUCUAGGGGGGUUUGCUAUCAGAACCAGCAAGUACCCCCCACCCCCAUAAAUAGAACCCAGGGUGGUCUCUGGACACCCGCCCCCUUCUCCCUCCUGAGAGUUGGGGGCUUCUGAUAGCUGGCAGGCCUCCCAGCUAAGAGUCAUGUGUUCCUGCCACCCUGGCAAAUUUACAAGUGAGCUGUGGCAAAUUUACAAAUUUACAAGAGUGCUGCAGAGCCGGGAAAAUGCUGGCCUAGUGGGAUGGCUGAAAGUUCUCCUGUUUCUUCACGAGAGAGAAAUGUCCUUUCGCUUUAAGAGCGUUCACUUAUUUUUCAGUUCUGCUCAGACACUCAGAAUGGCCCCUCUCUCCUCCACCCUGAUUGAGACUGGCCAGUUUUAGCAAAAACUCAUUUUUCAAAAUAAAAUUGUGGUACAAAUUCCAAAAAUGAGUUUCCUCCACAGUUGUUUCUCAUUAAAAUUCUUACCUUAAGGAUUCAAAACACGAUUUCACAGCACAGCCCCUCCCCCACCAAGGAUCCCAGAGUCUCAAAAUCCACUAAAGGCUCAGAUGCCUGACAUCAUUUUACAUAAAGACAAAUACCCUGUGUUUUCCAGGAGCACUGAGAGUGAGAUGUAAGCUUGUAUAGGAAGGUGGAGAUUAGGCUCUUCAAUAAAGAAAGGGCUGUACAUGCUUUAGGAGAGAAGAGGGGACACUGCUACAGUUUCUCUCUGGGAAGCUGGUUGGUAAGCAAAUUCUGGCAAUUACAAAAAGCACGAAAAGUUCAGAAAUCGGAGUUCCUGUUGUGGCUCAGCAGGUUAAGAACUGGACACAGUGUUUGUGAGGAUGCAGGUUGGAUCCCUGGCCGUGCUCACUGGGUUAAGGAUCCAGCCUUGCCGCAAGCUGUGCUAUAGGUCGCAGAUGCAGCUCAGAUCCUGAGUUGCUGUGGCUGUGGUGUAGGUCGGCCGCUGCAGCUCCAAUUUGACUCCUAGCCUCGGAACUUCAGUAUGCUGGCGGGUGUGGCCUAAAAGGCAAAAAAAAA
rnacentral:lncRNA from 1 species